ensembl:lncRNA
UCCAUUCUUUCUCCAGUCUUUUCUUUCUCCAGUCUUUUCUUUCUCCCAUCUUUUCUUUCUCCAGUCUUUUCUUUCUCCAGUCUUUUCUUUCUCCAGUCCAUUCUUUCUCCAGUCUUUUCUUUCUCCAGUCCAUUCUUUCUCCAGUCCAGUCUUUUCUUUCUCCAGUCUUUUCUUUCUCCAGUCCAUUCUUUCUCCAGUCCAUUCUUUAUCCAGUCUUUUCUUUCUCCAGUCCAUUCUUUCUCCAGUCUUUUCUUUCUCCAGUCCAUUCUUUCUCCAGUCCAUUCUUUCUCCAGUCUUUUCUUUCUCCAGUCUUUUCUUUCUCCAGUCCAUUCUUUCUCCAGUCCAUUCUUUCUCCAGUCCAUUCUUUCUCCAGUCCAUUCUUUCUCCAGUCUUUUCUUUCUCCAGUCUUUUCUUUCUCCAGUCCAUUCUUUCUCCAGUCCAUUCUUUCUCCAGUCCAUUCUUUCUCCAGUCCAUUCUUUCUCCAGUCCAUUCUUUCUCC